UGGUUUGAUCCUGGCUCAGGAUGAACGCUAGCGGCAGGCUUAAUACAUGCAAGUCGAGGGGUAACAGGGGAGCUUGCUCUUGCUGACGACCGGCGCACGGGCGUAACGCGUAUGUAACCUACCUUUUACUAAGGGAUAGCCCUAAGAAAUUGGGAUUAAUACCUUAUGUGAUAGUAAUGCUUCAUGGUAUAACUAUUAAAGAUUUAUUGGUAAGAGAUGGACAUGCGUCCCAUUAGAUAGUUGGUAAGGUAACGGCUUACCAAGUCAUUGAUGGGUAGGGGGUCUGAGAGGAUUAUCCCCCACACUGGUACUGAGACACGGACCAGACUCCUACGGGAGGCAGCAGUAGGGAAUAUUGGGCAAUGGACGCAAGUCUGACCCAGCCAUGCCGCGUGCAGGAUGACAGCCCUAUGGGUCGUAAACUGCUUUUAUAAGAGAAGAAACCUUCGGACGUGUCCGAGGCUGACGGUAUCUUAUGAAUAAGCACCGGCUAACUCCGUGCCAGCAGCCGCGGUAAUACGGAGGGUGCAAGCGUUAUCCGGAUUUAUUGGGUUUAAAGGGUGCGCAGGCGGCUUAUAUCAGUCAGUGGUGAAAUCCUACAGCUUAACUGUAGAACUGCCAUUGAUACUGUACAUCUUGAAUUCGGUCGAAGUGGGCGGAAUGUGUCAUGUAGCGGUGAAAUGCAUAGAUAUGACACAGAACAACCAAUUGCGAAGGCAGCUCACUAACCUAGUACUGACGCUGAUGCACGAAAGCGUGGGGAGCGAACAGGAUUAGAUACCCUGGUAGUCCACGCCGUAAACGAUGAUUACUCGGUGUUGGCGAUAUACAGUCAGUACCCAAGCGAAAGUGAUAAGUAAUCCACCUGGGGAGUACGAUCGCAAGGUUGAAACUCAAAGGAAUUGACGGGGGCCCGCACAAGCGGAGGAGCAUGUGGUUUAAUUCGAUGAUACGCGAGGAACCUUACCUGGGCUUAAAUGUAGAUUGCAUGAAGGGGAAACCUUUCUUUUCUUCGGAACUAUUUACAAGGUGCUGCAUGGUUGUCGUCAGCUCGUGCCGUGAGGUGUCGGGUUAAGUCCCAUAACUAGCGCAACCCCUAUCUUUAGUUGCCAUCAGGUAAUGCUGGGGACUCUAAAGAAACUGCCUACGCAAGUAGUGAGGAAGGUGGGGAUGACGUCAAAUCAGCACGGCCCUUACGUCCAGGGCUACACACGUGUUACAAUGGCCGAUACAAAGGGCAGCUACCAGGUGACUGGAUGCUAAUCUCGAAAGUCGGUCUUAGUUCGGAUCGAAGUCUGCAACUCGACUUCGUGAAUCUGGAUUCGCUAGUAAUCGUAGAUCAGCAAUGCUACGGUGAAUACGUUCCCGGGCCUUGUACACACCGCCCGUCAAGCCAUGGAAGCUGGGGGUACCUGAAGUCUGUCACCGCAAGGAGCGGCCUAGGGUAAAACUGGUAACUGGGGCUAAGUCGAAACAAGGUAGCCG
rnacentral:rRNA from 1 species